AAUAGAUACCCGGGUAGUCCACGCCGUAAACGAUGGAUGCUAGCUAUUGGGGGGAAUCGACCCCCUCCGAAGCGAAGCUAACGCGUUAAGCAUCCCGCCUGAGUAGUACGAGCGCAAGCUUAAAACUCAAAGGAAUUGACGGGGACCCGCACAAGCGGUGGAGCGUGUGGUUUAAUUCGAUGGUAAACGAAGAACCUUACCAAGGUUUGACAUCCCGGUAGCCGUUCUCCGAAAGGAGAAUUUCAUUUAGUUGGACCGGUGACAGGUGAUGCAUGGCCGUCGUCAGCUCGUGUCGUGAGAUGUUGGGUUAAGUCCCGCAACGAGCGCAACCCUUAUGAUUUAGUUGGAUUUUUCUAAACAGACUGCCCUGGUAACAGGGAGGAAGAGGGGAUGAUGUCAGGUCAGUAUUUCCCUUACACCUUGGGCGACACACGCGCUACAAUGGCCGGUACAAUGGGCAGCUAAGCCGCGAGGUGGAGCAAAUCCCAUCAAAGCCGGUCCCAGUUCGGAUUGCAGGCUGAAACCCGCUGCAUGAAGCCGGAAUCGCUAGUAACC
rnacentral:rRNA from 1 species